rnacentral:rRNA from 1 species
AUUGAACGCUGGCGGCAUGCCUUACACAUGCAAGUCGAACGGCAGCACGGGAGCAAUCCUGGUGGCGAGUGGCGAACGGGUGAGUAAUGUAUCGGAACGUGCCCAGUCGUGGGGGAUAACGCAGCGAAAGCUGUGCUAAUACCGCAUACGAUCUAUGGAUGAAAGCGGGGGAUCGCAAGACCUCGCGCGAUUGGAGCGGCCGAUAUCAGAUUAGCUAGUUGGUGGGGUAAAGGCUCACCAAGGCGACGAUCUGUAGCUGGUCUGAGAGGACGACCAGCCACACUGGAACUGAGACACGGUCCAGACUCCUACGGGAGGCAGCAGUGGGGAAUUUUGGACAAUGGGCGCAAGCCUGAUCCAGCAAUGCCGCGUGCAGGAUGAAGGCCUCGGGUUGUAACUAGCUUUGUUC